rnacentral:rRNA from 1 species
AGACCCGAAACCCGGUGAUCUAGCCAUGGGCAGGUUGAAGGUUGGGUAACACUAACUGGAGGACCGAACCGACUAAUGUUGAAAAAUUAGCGGAUGACCUGUGGCUGGGGGUGAAAGGCCAAUCAAACCGGGAGAUAGCUGGUUCUCCCCGAAAGCUAUUUAGGUAGCGCCUCGUGAAUUCAUCUCCGGGGGUAGAGCACUGUUUCGGCUAGGGGGCCAUCCCGGCUUACCAACCCGAUGCAAACUGCGAAUACCGGAGAAUGUUAUCACGGGAGACACACGGCGGGUGCUAACGUCCGUCGUGAAGAGGGAAACAACCCAGACCGCCAGCUAAGGUCCCAAAGUCAUGGUUAAGUGGGAAACGAUGUGGGAAGGCCCAGACAGCCAGGAUGUUGGCUUAGAAGCAGCCAUCAUUUAAAGAAAGCGUAAUAGCUCACUGGUCGAGUCGGCCUGCGCGGAAGAUGUAACGGGGCUAAACCAUGCACCGAAGCUGCGGCAGCGAACGUAUCACUUAAAGCGAUUCAGCGGGUUACGAUUGACGGAGCGAAGCGACGUCAAAGCGUAUACAAAGUCGAGUCGGUUUAAGGAUACGUUCGUUGGGUAGGGGAGCGUUCUGUAAGCCUGUGAAGGUGUGUCGUGAGGCAUGCUGGAGGUAUCAGAAGUGCGAAUGCUGACAUAAGUAACGAUAAAGCGGGUGAAAAGCCCGCUCGCCGGAAGACCAAGGGUUCCUGUCCAACGUU